rnacentral:tRNA from 1 species
AGUGUGUUGGCAGAAUAGUGCAACUGAUUUAGGAUCUGUAUAUGGUAUAUACCACACACUA